rnacentral:lncRNA from 1 species
AAAAAAAACCCCAACCAGGAAAACUAUGAAAGAUUCAUUUUAAUGGAAUCCAGGUUUAGCUGUUUCAUAUUUAAUAAUGUUUAAUAUUUCAUUUACUACUGGGGACUCACCUUUUUCAGAAGAAUGUAAGAUUCGAGGCACUAUCAGGCAUUAAGAUUUUAUGUCUGACUGUAGCAAUAUUGUAAGGGUUGGCAUUGCGGCUGCUGGAGCCCGAUGCAGAGAGCCUGGAAGCAGCAAGGUUUCCUUCUUUUUUUUCCAAAAGAGGCGCCGGAGCCCCGGAAAGCGGUGGGGUAGAGCUGUGAAUCCUAGCAACAGGAGGAGAGAGAGAACUGUACGUUUCUUCACGUCCUCCAAGCGCUGGUGCCUUCUGGUACAUCAUUUACAGGGAGCAACAGAGACCUUGGAAAGGCCCUUCAUGCCGUUACAUCAAGAAAGGGACAGUUUUCCCAGCAGGACAGGAGAAAACCCCCGCGGAACCAGCCAGCACAUGUUUCGUGGCAAGAUCAGGGCCUCAGACACCACAAACUCUUCCUUUUUGGGCUCAAGAUCCUGAGAAGCUGCGGAAAAUUUGGGCAGAAGCAGAUCCUCUCAGCGUUGCACGGGACAGCAGACGUGACCUGCUCGGGGAUGUGGAGACACCUGGCACGGGGUCCUCAGUCUGGUCGGAUGGGAUGGAACAGGUGACCAUCAUGCUCUUGUAUUUUUUAACUUUGGGAAAAAAGGAAAUUUUUCUUUGGGAGUUAUGGGAGCUCUUGGCUGGCUGUAUCAGAAAAGUUUCCUUGGAUCUCUUCCACUUCAUGCCAGGAUAUUGUUCAGUCUAAUGACCAGCUUGAGAGAAAUGUUUCCACUUUCUAGAGUGGAGUGAUUUACUACCUUACCUCUCCCAGCAUUUCCAUAGAGGUGAAUUCCACACAUUUUUAAACCUGUAGUCAGAAUUUGUGCUCCAGGAUCCUUUUAAAGCCAGGCUCAGCGAUACUACGUACCAUUAGCAGUGGAUCCCUCUGAGAAAGGAGAAUGGGAUUUUCCCCCACUGUGAUCAGCACUGUCUUUUCUGCUUUAUUUUCCUUCUGGGCUGUCCUCACCCCUUUGUUUCCUCUCUGGGAUGGCAUCAUUCCUCCCCUCUGAGGCCGAGCUGCCGCGCAGCCUCUGUGCAGCAUCUGAGAGGGUACGAGGCGGUAGUGGAAGUGCUGGAGUGUCCCGGCACUAAUCACAUAUUAUCACCUUACGAUAAUUAUCCAAGCUGAUUCUGAAUGAAUCCUCUUUGGAGAAGGUCCUUGGCCUGCCCUCUGCUUGGCAGAAUGCCCGAGGUGCCACUGGCACGAACACAUGAAGACUGGUGAAAUCCAAAGUGCCGUAUUACGUUGCAGGAAGCAGCCAGCCAGGUGUUACCACCAAGACAUAAUAAAUUCCUGUUGGUACGGCA